CGGCGGACGGGUGAGUAACGCGUGGGUAACCUACCCUGUACACACGGAUAACAUACCGAAAGGUAUGCUAAAUACGGGAUAAUAUAUUUGAGAGGCAUCUCUUGAAUAUCAAAGGUGAGCCAGUACAGGAUGGACCCGCGUCUGAUUAGCUAGUUGGUAAGGUAACGGCUUACCAAGGCGACGAUCAGUAGCCGACCUGAGAGGGUGAUCGGCCACAUUGGAACUGAGACACGGUCCAA
rnacentral:rRNA from 1 species